rnacentral:misc_RNA from 1 species
AAGGAGCACAGUACCGAUUGCAGGCAAAUGUUCUGCACGGUCAGCUCAUGGGUGGAACGUUGAUUAUUCGGCACACUUGACCUGAUCUGGUCACCAGUACUGCUUCGGCGUGGAACGUGACUGUGGGAGGGCGAGGGUGCCGGGCACGCUGUUGGGUGUCUGAGGGAAUGAACCCCCUCAAGAUGCCGACCCCGGUAAAGAUCCGCUUAAAUCGGGUUGUGACGGGUGGUUGGUCGUUGUUUGAGAACUGCACAGUGAACGCGAGCGUCUGU